rnacentral:rRNA from 1 species
GAUGAACGCUAGCUAUAGGCUUAACACAUGCAAGUCGAGGGGAAACGGCAUUAUGUGCUUGCACAUUUUGGACGUCGACCGGCGCACGGGUGAGUAUCGCGUAUCCAACCUGCCCUUUACUUGGGGAUACCCCGUUGAAAGACGGCCUAAUACCCGAUGUAAUUCAUUGAUGGCAUCAGAUAUGAAUAAAAGAUUUAUCGGUAAAGGAUGGGGAUGCGUCUGAUUAGCUUGUUGGUGAGGUAAAGGCUCACCAAGGCAACGAUCAGUAGGGGUUCUGAGAGGAAGGUCCCCCACAUUGGAACUGAGACACGGUCCAAACUCCUACGGGAGGCAGCAGUGAGGAAUAUUGGUCAAUGGACGGAAGUCUGAACCAGCCAAGUAGCGUGCAGGAAGACGGCCCUAUGGGUUGUAAACUGCUUUUAUACGAGAAUAAUUUGAUGCACGUGUGCGUUAUUGCAUGUAUCGUAUGAAUAAGGACCGGCUAAUUCCGUGCCAGCAGCCGCGGUAAUACGGAAGGUCCAGGCGUUAUCCGGAUUUAUUGGGUUUAAAGGGGGUGUAGGCGGUUUGUUAAGCGUGUUGUGAAAUUUAGGUGCUCAACAUUUAACUUGCAGCGCGAACUGUCAGACUUGAGUACACGCAACGUAUGCGGAAUUCAUGGUGUAGCGGUGAAAUGCUUAGAUAUCAUGAAGAACUCCGAUUGCGAAGGCAGCAUACGGGAGUGUAACUGACGCUUAAGCUCGAAGGUGCGGGUAUCGAACAGG